GGGCUGGUGGCGGAACCUCCAACGUCGUUGGCUGCACUUGGUUAUUAGCCUGACCUACCGUUUGACAGGAGGCGACGGUGUUGGAGAGUUGGAAAGAUGUUCGUCUUGGAGCCAUGAUGCUAAUGAGGCCCUUCCACUAUCUGUUGCUACUCGAAAUCAGUCAAGGUCAGUAAGACGGCAAUUGAGCCCCACGUAGGGUUGCUGGUGCUGG
rnacentral:lncRNA from 1 species